UACGAAGGGGGCUAGCGUUGCUCGGAAUCACUGGGCGUAAAGCGCACGUAGGCGGCUUCUUAAGUCAGGGGUGAAAUCCUGGAGCUCAACUCCAGAACUGCCUUUGAUACUGAGGAGCUUGAGUCCGGGAGAGGUGAGUGGAACUGCGAGUGUAGAGGUGAAAUUCGUAGAUAUUGGGAAGAACACCGGUGGCGAAGGCGGCGACCUGGUCCGAUACUGACGCUGAGGCGCGAAAGCGUGGGGAGCAAACAGG
rnacentral:rRNA from 1 species